UACGAAGGGGGCUAGCGUUGCUCGGAUUGACUGGGCGUAAAGAGCUUGUAGGCGGUUUGUCGCGUCUGCUGUGAAAUUUCGGGGCUCAACCCCGAGCCUGCAGUGGAUACGGGCAGACUAGAGGUAGGUAGGGGAGAAUGGAAUUCCCGGUGUAGCGGUGAAAUGCGCAGAUAUCGGGAGGAACACCGGUGGCGAAGGCGGUUCUCUGGGCCUUACCUGACGCUGAGGAGCCGAAAGCGUGGGGAGCGAACAGG
rnacentral:rRNA from 1 species